UUGGAAUCUCAAAAAUUGUGA
ensembl:piRNA 21ur-12855 ncRNA